AUGCAAGUCGAACGAAACUUCUUUAUCACCGAGUGCUUGCACUCACCGAUAAAGAGUUGAGUGGCGAACGGGUGAGUAACACGUGGGCAACCUGCCCAAAAGAGGGGGAUAACACUUGGAAACAGGUGCUAAUACCGCAUAACCAUAGUUACCGCAUGGUAACUAUGUAAAAGGUGGCUAUGCUACCGCUUUUGGAUGGGCCCGCGGCGCAUUAGCUAGUUGGUGAGGUAAAGGCUUACCAAGGCAAUGAUGCGUAGCCGAACUGAGAGGUUGAUCGGCCACAUUGGGACUGAGACACGGCCCAAACUCCUACGGGAGGCAGCAGUAGGGAAUCUUCCACAAUGGGCGAAAGCCUGAUGGAGCAACGCCGCGUGGGUGAAGAAGGUCUUCGGAUCGUAAAACCCUGUUGUUAGAGAAGAAAGUGCGUGAGAGUAACUGUUCACGUUUCGACGGUAUCUAACCAGAAAGCCACGGCUAACUACGUGCCAGCAGCCGCGGUAAUACGUAGGUGGCAAGCGUUAUCCGGAUUUAUUGGGCGUAAAGGGAACGCAGGCGGUCUUUUAAGUCUGAUGUGAAAGCCUUCGGCUUAACCGGAGUAGUGCAUUGGAAACUGGGAGACUUGAGUGCAGAAGAGGAGAGUGGAACUCCAUGUGUAGCGGUGAAAUGCGUAGAUAUAUGGAAGAACACCAGUGGCGAAAGCGGCUCUCUGGUCUGUAACUGACGCUGAGGUUCGAAAGCGUGGGUAGCAAACAGGAUUAGAUACCCUGGUAGUCCACGCCGUAAACGAUGAAUGCUAAGUGUUGGAGGGUUUCCGCCCUUCAGUGCUGCAGCUAACGCAAUAAGCAUUCCGCCUGGGGAGUACGACCGCAAGGUUGAAACUCAAAGGAAUUGACGGGGGCCCGCACAAGCGGUGGAGCAUGUGGUUUAAUUCGAAGCAACGCGAAGAACCUUACCAGGUCUUGACAUCUUCUGACAAUCCUAGAGAUAGGACUUUCCCUUCGGGGACAGAAUGACAGGUGGUGCAUGGUUGUCGUCAGCUCGUGUCGUGAGAUGUUGGGUUAAGUCCCGCAACGAGCGCAACCCUUAUUGUUAGUUGCCAGCAUUAAGUUGGGCACUCUAGCAAGACUGCCGGUGACAAACCGGAGGAAGGUGGGGAUGACGUCAAAUCAUCAUGCCCCUUAUGACCUGGGCUACACACGUGCUACAAUGGACGGUACAACGAGUCGCAAGACCGCGAGGUUUAGCAAAUCUCUUAAAGCCGUUCUCAGUUCGGAUUGUAGGCUGCAACUCGCCUACAUGAAGUCGGAAUCGCUAGUAAUCGCGGAUCAGCAUGCCGCGGUGAAUACGUUCCCGGGCCUUGUACACACCGCCCGUCACACCAUGAGAGUUUGUAACACCCAAAGCCGGUGGGGUAACCUUUUGGAGCCAGCCGU
rnacentral:rRNA from 1 species